AAAAAAGCUAUGAUGAGGAAAGUAAUAAUUGAAAGAGUUCACAGAGAGAUAGUUGGUUGCUGAGAGACUAUUAACUUUAUCUUUUAUGAAGAUCACCUUAGAGCUUGUUGUCUGAAAAUGAUAGUAAGACAUCACGUAGAGAUACGUUAAAAUAUAAUGAGUGAUAAGAGUAUUCAUUUACUUUUAUAAUUUGGGUGGUAACACGGUAUAUUCGUCCCUAAG
rnacentral:ncRNA from 1 species